UUCAAUUGGAUCAUAAAAUCGUGAUUGGAACCACAUAUGUUUGGUAAAAAGAAUAAUCUUCUCCUUUGAGAAUAAUCAAAAAAGGAAAGUGUU